rnacentral:rRNA from 1 species
CCCCUAGAUGUUCUGGGCCGCACGCGCGCUACACUGAACAGUUCAACAAGUCUUAACCUUGGCCGAUAGGUCUGGGUAAUCUUUGAACGCUGUUCGUGACUGGGAUAGACCUUUGCAAUUAUGGGUCUUCAACGAGGAAUUCCUAGUAAACGCAAGUCAUCAGCUUGCAUUGAUUACGUCCCUGCCCUUUGUACACACCGCCCGUCGCACCUACCGAUUGAAUGGUCCGGUGAAAUCUCGGGACGGCGGCUUGGUCGCUUGCGUCCGACUGCUGAAACUUGAUUAAACCAUAUCAUUUAGAGGAAGGUGAAGUCGUANCA